AUGAAACCAUCAUUUCCCCUGAGAAUUUUAGAGGGGACAAAGAACUUACAUGUUUCUGCUGGCUUACAGGGGGAUCGUGGGAAGGAUGGCUUGAAAGGUGAAAGAGGUCCUCCAGGCCCAAAGGGAGAACCUGGUCCACCAGGCAAAGGAGUGGAAAUGAAGGAUCUGGAGAGGCUUUUUGAAGCAAAUGGUAUCAAGCUGGCACUGCUGAAGGACCUCUCCAACGCACUCCUGCAGGAUGGGCUGGAUGGGCUGGUGCAGCAGCUGGGUGGCUCCAGGACAAGCAAGACCUCCCAGAGAAAGCAGGCAACUCUGCAAGCCACCACGCAUGGCGAUUUGCUGGUGUUUGAUACUUCUCAUGAUGCCCUGGCCAGCACCGAGGUGACAGAAGAAGCACAGAGCCUGGAGGUGGAGGCUCAGUUUAGGGUGCCUGUGUCUGGAGGACUCCUUAAGGGUCUAUCUGCUGGUGGUUCUGAACCUGAGUACGAGUCCUUAGGAAACCCUCCUGAGUCCUUGGAGAAAACACCUGAGGAAAGAAGGAACGAGAGAGACUCAAGAGGGACAAACAUUUCUCUCAGCAGUAGCUUGGCUGUGUCCCCACCACACCCAGAAGAUGAUCGGCAAGGAAGUCAGCCCAUGGAGCUUCUCAAGUCCUUGGAGGAGGGGAUGGAAGGACAACAGGACGUCAGCCAUGUAUGUCUUCCCCAGCAGUUCUGGGCAGUAGACCAGUGUGGAGAUAAGUGAUAGACU
rnacentral:lncRNA from 1 species